rnacentral:snoRNA from 2 species
UCAAAUGAUGAUCCUCCACAUUAUACUUUUUCUGGUACCUCUUAUUUUAAAGUCUUCAGGCUUAAUGAAUGAAACGGACUUCUGACA